GAGAGACUCCUCCCGCGCCACGGCGGAUCCCGCGAUGCGUGCGACGGCUCAGGGAGGUCCCAGCACGGAUCGCGAGGCGUGUGCUGGGCAGCCCGGACGUAGCUUUCGGUUUUGUUGUCGCGGCUUUGCAUGGACGGCACUGGUUGAGAAAGAGGCCUUGGCGUUAUCCGUGUGUUGCUUUCCUUGCAAUCCAAUCUCCGGCCCCAUUAUUCCUCCUUUUUAAUGCGAAAAUCGCAUUCUUGUUCUUCAGCUCGUCUAAAGAAUAUCUCAGUUCCUGUUGGCUCGUAACAUUGCUUAUGUAAG
rnacentral:lncRNA from 1 species